rfam:Agrilus planipennis Contig45523, whole genome shotgun sequence.
UCUCCCGUAGCUUAGUGGUCAGAGCAAUGGUGCGGAAAGCCAAAGGUCCCGGGUUCGAUUCCCGGCGAGGGUG